rnacentral:rRNA from 1 species
GAUGAACGCUGGCGGCGUGCCUAAUACAUGCAAGUCGAGCGAAGCGGGGACGGGUGAGUACCACGUGGAUAACAUCCUAUAAGACUGGCAUCACUUCGGGAAACCGGAGCUAAAACGGAUACUUAUAGAUGGUACCUCGCUGCAUUAGCUAGUUGGUAAGGUAACGGCUUACCAAGGCAACGAUGAAUAGCCGGUCUGAGAGGGUGAUCAGCCACACGGGAACGGAGACACGGUCCAGACUCCUACGGUAGGCAGCAGUGGGGAAGCUUGCGCAAUGGGCGAAAGCCUGACGGAGCAACGCCGCGUGAGUGAAGAAGGUCUGCGGAUCGUAAAGCACUUUUAUUUGGGAAGCGGUACCUAAUCAGUAAGCCCCGGCUAACUUCGUGCCAGCAGCCGCGGUAAUAC